rnacentral:rRNA from 1 species
UAGGGAAUCUUCCGCAAUGGACGCAAGUCUGACGGAGCAACGCCGCGUGAGUGAAGAAGGAUUUCGGUUCGUAAAACUCUGUUGUUAGAGAAGAACAGCGCAUAGAGUAACUGUUAUGCGUGUGACGGUAUCUAACCAGAAAGCCACGGCUAACUACGUGCCAGCAGCCGCGGUAAUACGUAGGUGGCAAGCGUUGUCCGGAUUUAUUGGGCGUAAAGCGAGCGCAGGCGGUCAAUUAAGUCUGAUGUGAAAGCCCCCGGCUCAACCGGGGACGGUGAUUGGAAACUGGUUGACUUGAGUGCAGAAGAGGAGCGUGGAUUUCCAUGUGUAGCGGUGAAAGGCGUAGAUAUAUGGAGGAAAACGUGUGGCGAAGGCCACUCUCUGGUCUGUAACUUACGCUGAGGCUCGAAAGCGUGGGUAGGAAACAGG